UGGGGAAUUUUACGCAAUGGGGAAACCCUGACGUAGCGACACCGCGUGAGCGAAGAAGCCCUUUGGGGGUGUAAAGCUCUGUCAACAGGAACGAAACAAAUGACGGUACCUGUGGAGGAAGCAUCGGCUAACUACGUGCCAGCAGCCGCGGUAAGACGUAGGAUGCAAGCGUUGUCCGGGAUUUAUUGGGCGUAAAGAGUUCGUAGGCGGUUUGUUAAGUCUGAUGUUAAAGACCGGGGCUCAACCUCGGAAAUGCAUUGGAUGCUGGCAGACUGGAGUGCAGUAGAGGCUAGUGGAAUUCCCAGUGUAGCGGUGAAAUGCGUAGAUAUUGGGAAGAACACCGGUGGCGUAGGCGACUAGCUGGGCUGUAACUGACGCUGAGGAACGAAAGCCAGGGGAGCAAAUGGGAUUAGAUACCCCCAGUAGUCCUGGCCGUAAACGAUGGAUACUAGGCGUAGUGGGUAUCGACCCCUGCUGUGCCGCAGCUAACGCGAUAAGUAUCCCGCCUGAGUAGUACGGCCGCAAGGUUGAAACUCAAAUGAA
rnacentral:rRNA from 1 species